rnacentral:rRNA from 1 species
GAGUGAACGCUGGCGGUAGGCCUAACCCAUGCAAGUCGAACGGCAGCACAGUAAGAGCUUGCUCUUACGGGUGGCGAGUGGCGGACGGGUGAGGAAUACAUCGGAAUCUACUUUUUCGUGGGGGAUAACGUAGGGAAACUUACGCUAAUACCGCAUACGACCUACGGGUGAAAGCAGGGGAUCUUCGGACCUUGCGCGAUUGAAUGAGCCGAUGUCGGAUUAGCUAGUUGGCGGGGUAAAGGCCCACCAAGGCGACGAUCCGUAGCUGGUCUGAGAGGAUGAUCAGCCACACUGGAACUGGGACACGGUCCAGGCUCCUACGGGAGGCAGCAGUGGGGAAUAUUGGACAAUGGGCGCAAGCCUGAUCCAGCCAUACCGCGUGGGUGAAGAAGGCCUUCGGGUUGUAAAGCCCUUUUGUUGGGAAAGAAAAGCAGCAGGUUAAUACCCCGCUGUUCUGACGGUACCCAAAGAAUAAGCACCGGCUAACUUCGUG